rnacentral:tRNA from 1 species
GUCCUACUAGCUCAGUCGGUAGAGCAUGAGACUCUUAACCUCAGGGUCGUGAGUUCGAGCCCACGUUGGGCG